rnacentral:rRNA from 1 species
AGAUACCCUGGUAGUCCACGCCGUAAACGAUGUCGAUUUGGAGGUUGUGCCCUUGAGGCGUGGCUUCCGGAGCUAACGCGUUAAAUCGACCGCCUGGGGAGUACGGCCGCAAGGUUAAAACUCAAAUGAAUUGACGGGGGCCCGCACAAGCGGUGGAGCAUGUGGUUUAAUUCGAUGCAACGCGAAGAACCUUACCUGGUCUUGACAUCCACAGAACUUUCCAGAGAUGGAUUGGUGCCUUCGGGAACUGUGAGACAGGUGCUGCAUGGCUGUCGUCAGCUCGUGUUGUGAAAUGUUGGGUUAAGUCCCGCAACGAGCGCAACCCUUAUCCUUUGUUGCCAGCGGUUAGGCCGGGAACUCAAAGGAGACUGCCAGUGAUAAACUGGAGGAAGGUGGGGAUGACGUCAAGUCAUCAUGGCCCUUACGACCAGGGCUACACACGUGCUACAAUGGCGCAUACAAAGAGAAGCGACCUCGCGAGAGCAAGCGGACCUCAUAAAGUGCGUCGUAGUCCGGAUUGGAGUCUGCAACUCGACUCCAUGAAGUCGGAAUCGCUAGUAAUCGUAGAUCAGAAUGCUACGGUGAAUACGUUCCCGGGCCUUGUACACACCGCCCGUCACACCAUGGGAGUGGGUUGCAAAAGAAGUAGGUAGCUUAACCUUCGGGAGGGCGCUUACCACUUUGUGAUUCAUGACUGGGGUGAAGUCGUAACAAGGUAA